rnacentral:rRNA from 1 species
CCCAGACUCCUACGGGAGGCAGCAGUGGGGAAUAUUGCACAAUGGGGGAAACCCUGAUGCAGCGACGCCGCGUGGGUGAAGGAGCACCUCGGUGCGUAAAGCCCUAUCGGCAGGGAAGAAACAGACGGUACCUGACUAAGAAGCCCCGGCUAACUACGUGCCAGCAGCCGCGGUAAUACGUAGGGGGCAAGCGUUAUCCGGAUUUACUGGGUGUAAAGGGAGCGUAGACGGUGAGACAAGUCUGAAGUGAAAGCCCGGGGCUCAACCCCGGGACUGCUUUGGAAACUGCCUGACUGGAGUGCUGGAGAGGCAAGCGGAAUUCCUAGUGUAGCGGUGAAAUGCGUAGAUAUUAGGAAGAACACCAGUGGCGAAGGCGGCUUGCUGGACAGUAACUGACGUUGAGGCUCGAAAGCGUGGGGAGCAAACAGGAUUAGAUACCCGAGUAGA